UACGUAGGGUGCAAGCGUUGUCCGGAUUUACUGGGCGUAAAGAGCGCGCAGGCGGUCGUUCAAGUCGAGUGUGAAAGCCCCCGGCUCAACUGGGGAGGGUCAUUCGAUACUGAUCGACUCGAAGGCAGGAGAGGGUAGUGGAAUUCCCGGUGUAGUGGUGAAAUGCGUAGAUAUCGGGAGGAACACCAGUGGCGAAGGCGACUACCUGGCCUGUUCUUGACGCUGAGGCGCGAAAGCUAGGGGAGCAAACGGG
rnacentral:rRNA from 1 species